AUUGAACGCUGGCGGCAUGCUUUACACAUGCCAGUCGAACGGCAGCGCGGGGUCCGCCCUGGUGGCGAGUGGCGAACGGGUGAGUAAUGCAUCGGAACGUGCCCGGUAGUGGGGGAUAGCGUGGCGAAAGCCACGCUAAUACCGCAUACGACCUGAGGGUGAAAGCGGGGGACCUUCGGGCCUCGCGCGAUCGGAGCGGCCGAUGUCGGAUUAGGUAGUUGGUGGGGUAAAGGCCUACCAAGCCGACGAUCCGUAGCUGGUCUGAGAGGACGACCAGCCACACUGGGACUGAGACACGGCCCAGACUCCUACGGGAGGCAGCAGUGGGGAAUUUUGGACAAUGGGCGCAAGCCUGAUCCAGCCAUGCCGCGUGCAGGACGAAGGCCUUCGGGUUGUAAACUGCUUUUGUACGGGACGAAAAGGCUUUGGCUAAUACCUGGGGCUCAUGACGGUACCGGAAGAAUAAGCACCGGCUAACUACGUG
rnacentral:rRNA from 1 species